rnacentral:rRNA from 1 species
AGCGAACGCUGGCGGCAGGCCUAACACAUGCAAGUCGAACGAAGUCUUCGGACUUAGUGGCGGACGGGUGAGUAACACGUGGGAACGUGCCUUUAGGUUCGGAAUAACUCAGGGACACUUGUGCUAAUACCGAAUGUGCCCUUCGGGGGAAAGAUUUCUCGCCUUUAGAGCGGCCCGCGUCUGAUUAGCUAGUUGGUGAGGUAAAGGCUCACCAAGGCUACGAUCAGUAGCUGGUCUGAGAGGAUGACCAGCCACAUUGGGACUGAGACACGGCCCAAACUCCUACGGGAGGCAGCAGUGGGGAAUCUUGCGCAAUGGGCGAAAGCCUGACGCAGCCAUGCCGCGUGGAUGAUGAAGGUCUUAGGAUUGUAAAAUCCUUUCACCGGUGAAGAUAAUGACUGUAGCCGGAGAAGAAGCCCCGGCUAACUUCGUGCCAGCAGCCGCCGUAAGAC